CCCCUCCCACAGGCCUCACGAGAAGUUGGGACGGGCUGCAGGCUUGGGGGUGCCCAAGGGCCCAGAGAGGACUGCAGGGUCAGGGCUGGAGUGUCUCAGGCUGAGAGGGGCCUGGGCGCCAGGGCCUCCCCAGCGAUCGGAUCGGAGCCUGAGG